rnacentral:rRNA from 1 species
GACGAACGCUGGCGGCGUGCUUAACACAUGCAAGUCGAACGAAGUGGCGAACGUGUGAGUAACGCGUAAUCAACCUGCCCUUCAGAGGUGUACAACAGUUGGAAACGACUACUAAUACAGCAUACUGAAGUCGUGUAUUGCAUCUGAUUAGCUAGUUGGCGGGGUAACGGCCCACCAAGGCGAUGAUCAGUAGCCGGUCUGAGAGGAUGAACGGCCAAAUUGGGACUGAGACACGGCCCAGAAUCCUACGGGAGGCAGCAGUGGGGAAGCUUCCGAAAUGGACGAAAGGCUGACGGAGCAACGCCGCGUGAGUGAUGACGGCCUUCGGGUUGUAAAGCUCUGUUAAUCGGGACGCGGUACCGGAAUAGAACGCCACGGCUAACUACGUGCCAGCAGCCGCGGUAAUAC